GAUGAACGCUGGCGGCGUGCCUAACACAUGCCAGUCGAGCGAAGCGCUUAAAUUAGAUUUCUUCGGAAUGACGAUUUUUGUGACUGAGCGGCGGACGGGUGAGUAACGCGUGGGUAACCUGCCUCAUACAGGGGGAUAACAGUUAGAAAUGACUGCUAAUACCGCAUAAGACCCCAGCUUCGCAUGAAGCGGUGGUAAAAACUCCGGUGGUAUGAGAUGGACCCGCGUCUGAUUAGCUAGUUGGUAAGGUAACGGCUUACCAAGGCGACGAUCAGUAGCCGACCUGAGAGGGUGACCGGCCACAUUGGGACUGAGACACGGCCCAGACUCCUACGGGAGGCAGCAGUGGGGAAUAUUGCACAAUGGGGGAAACCCUGAUGCAGCGACGCCGCGUGAAGGAUGAAGUAUUUCGGUAUGUAAACUUCUAUCAGCAGGGAAGAAAGUGACGGUACCUGACUAAGAAGCCCCGGCUAACUACGUG
rnacentral:rRNA from 1 species